CCUACGGGGUGCAGCAGUGGGGAAUAUUGGGCAAUGGGCGCAAGCCUGACCCAGCAACGCCGCGUGAAGGAAGAAGGCUUUCGGGUUGUAAACUUCUUUUGUCAGGGAAGAGUAGAAGACGGUACCUGACGCAUAAGCCACGGCUAACUACGUGCCAGCAGCCGCGGUAAUACGUAGGUGGCAAGCGUUGUCCGGAUUUACUGGGUGUAAAGGGCGUGUAGCCGGGUUGACAAGUCAGAUGUGAAAUCCUGCGGCUUAACCGCAGAACUGCAGUUGAAACUGUUGAUCUUGAGUACUGGAGAGGCAGACGGAAUUCCUAGUGUAGCGGUGAAAUGCGGAGAUAUUAGGAGGAACACCAGUGGCGAAGGCGGUCUGCUGGACAGCAACUGACGGUGAGGCGCGAAAGCGUGGGGAGCAAACAGGAUUAGAUACCCCAGUAGUC
rnacentral:rRNA from 1 species